AGCUCCAAUAGCGUAUAUUUAAGUUGUUGCAGUUAAAAAGCUCGUAGUUGGAAUGAUACGUUUGCCAAGAGACUCUUAUCUUAGAGCACGCGGCAGGCGCGAGUUCUUCGAGAACUUCUGUUACUUUGAGAAAAAUUGAGUGUUUCACGCGGGCCAGAGCUGAAAUAGUGUACCAUGGAAUAACGAAGUGGCUGUUCCUCCGUUUCUUCGGUUUUGGACGGAACAGCACGUGGUUGAUAGGAACAGUCGGGGGUAUUCGUAUUGAACAGUCAGAGGUGAAAUUCUUAGAUUUGUUCAAGACGAACUAAUGCGAAAGCAUCUACCAAGGAUGUUUUCA
rnacentral:rRNA from 1 species